rnacentral:rRNA from 1 species
GACGCCGCGUGGGGGAAGAAGGCCUUCGGGUUGUAAACCCCUGUCAGGUGGGAAGAACACUCCUGCUUUAACAGAGCUGGGGAUGACGCUACCACCAGAGGAAGCGCCAGCUAACUUCGUGCCAGCACCCGCGGUGACUGAGCGGGCUGGCAAGGCGCAUA